rnacentral:sRNA from 1 species
UCUGUGAUAAAUGUCGCCUGACUACCA